AUUGAACGCUGGCGGCAUGCCUUACACAUGCAAGUCGAACGGCAGCACGGGAGCAAUCCUGGUGGCGAGUGGCGAACGGGUGAGUAAUAUAUCGGAACGUGCCCAGUCGUGGGGAUAACGUAGCGAAAGCUACGCUAAUACCGCAUACGAUCUAUGGAUGAAAGCGGGGGAUCGCAAGACCUCGCGCGAUUGGAGCGGCCGAUAUCAGAUUAGGUAGUUGGUGAGGUAAAGGCUCACCAAGCCGACGAUCUGUAGCUGGUCUGAGAGGACGACCAGCCACACUGGGACUGAGACACGGCCCAGACUCCUACGGGAGGCAGCAGUGGGGAAUUUUUGGACAAUGGGCGCAAGCCUGAUCCAGCAAUGCCGCGUGCAGGAAGAAGCAUCUAUGGUGUGUAAACUGCUUUUGUACGGGAAGAAACACUCCUACGUGUAGGAGCUUGACGGUACCGUAAGAAUAAGGAUCGGCUAACUCCGUG
rnacentral:rRNA from 1 species